rnacentral:rRNA from 1 species
GGAUCCAGACUUUGAUUCUGGCUCAGGAUGAACGCUAGCUACAGGCUUAACACAUGCAAGUCGAGGGGAAACGACAUCGAAAGCUUGCUUUUGAUGGGCGUCGACCGGCGCACGGGUGAGUAACGCGUAUCCAACCUGCCCAUCACUUGGGGAUAACCUUGCGAAAGUAAGACUAAUACCCAAUGACGUCUCUAGAAGACAUCUGAAAGAGAUUAAAGAUUUAUCGGUGAUGGAUGGGGAUGCGUCUGAUUAGCUUGUUGGCGGGGUAGCGGCCCACCAAGGCAACGAUCAGUAGGGGUUCUGAGAGGAAGGUCCCCCACAUUGGAACUGAGACACGGUCCAAACUCCUACGGGAGGCAGCAGUGAGGAAUAUUGGUCAAUGGGCGAGAGCCUGAACCAGCCAAGUAGCGUGCAGGAUGACGGCCCUAUGGGUUGUAAACUGCUUUUAUAAGGGAAUAAAGUGAGUCUCGUGAGACUUUUUGCAUGUACCUUAUGAAUAAGGACCGGCUAAUUCCGUGCCAGCAGCCGCGGUAAUACGGAAGGUCCGGGCGUUAUCCGGAUUUAU